rnacentral:rRNA from 1 species
UACGAAGGUGGCUAGCGUUGUUCGGAUUUAUUGGGCGUAAAGGGUCCGCAGGCGGUUUGGAAAGUCAGGUGUGAAAUCCCACAGCUUAACUGUGGACACGCAUUUGAAACUUCCAGACUAGAGUGUGAGAGGGGUGAAUGGAAUUUCCAGUGUAGGGGUGAAAUCCGUAGAUAUUGGAAAGAACACCGGCCGCGAAGGCGAUUCACUGGCUCAUUACUGACGCUCAGGGACGAAAGCCAGGGGAGCAAACGGG